AAAUAAUCUCAUUCUGAGGAUUUCAACAUUGGGUCCUCUCGGAGCUUGUCAUCCCCUGCAGAGUACUGGUCCAGCAUGCAGUUCUAUUCAGAGAUCAUGACGAGGGAGAAGUUUUUGGAUUUUUUUGAAUAUAUUUACCUACUGAAUACUUUUGUCUCCUGGAUGCAGGAUUUGGACAUUCCCGAAGCUGACCUUCCAGCACCAUUUAACCAGAGAAGUAUCAACAUGAAGGUGGAGCCGACGUCCAAGGACGUGUCAGCUUUACUGCAGAUGGAUGUAUUAAAUUCAUCCCAUCUCUCUCCAUCUUUCUGUAGACGCUUUUCUCAGAAGGCUUUUGCUGCAGAGAAAGAAAAGACUCACCUACUUUCACCCAUUAAAUCUUCUUGUGUGGCUAAUCAAGAAACUGGAGGAACAAGAACGUUUCCCAACACUUCUUCCGAAUCCACAGCCACUAUCCUAGUGACUCAGACUUCACAUUGUGUUAGCUCUGCCACAUCUGGUAAUACUCCUACAAAGCUGGCUUCUGCAGAAAGUGACAAUCUAGUUGUUGAAACACCUGCACAAUCUACUCCAAUGAGAUUAAUUUCACCAAAUAGAUCAGUGCUUACCUGUGAAGAUGAGUGCAAGAAUGGAACAAGCCAAAACUCCACACCUGGCAAUCUGACUGCAAAGAGGUCAUUAGAUUUUUAUACUUUGGAUGGUGAUAAUACUUCUCAGGACUUCACUACUGAUGAGAAUAAGAUGGAGUAUUCUAAAGGUGUUUGCAGUACUCUUCCUCGAAUGAAAAUGAAAGGGAUUUCUGUAAAGGUUGAUACUGUUCUUUCCAAGGUAAAAAUUAGCAGUUACUUGUGUUUAGUUUUUAACAUUGCAGUAGCCGGUUAAAUAAUUUGCAAUUUAGAGUCUCCGUGGACCUUUAUUAGGGCUUAUUUGUUUCUUGCUGUCUGAAGAUGAUAUGCUCAUUUGUUCUGUCUUGGACAUGUUCUUAUAAUUUAAGAUGCUAACGAUCUUGCAAAAUUUAUAGAAUAGAUUUAACCUCCGUUUGGAUACAAUUUAUUAUUGGUUUAUAAAUUCAGCCAAAGUCAAACAUACACUUCAACCACACAUUAUUAUCCUCACAUUUUGUGGGACCUCCUCUUUGUAAAUCGAUUUAUAAAUUUUCUAAAUGGAGGCUUAAAUCAGAUAAUCAUGAUUACUAAUAUUGCUAUAUGUAUCAGCAUUCACAGUGGUUUAUUGCUAAAUAAGAUUCACACUUGAAUAUGAAAGUGAAUUUCUUAAAGUGAAUUUCUUAAUAUUCAUUGGGUACUUCUGCUAGAAAAUUGUUACUUAGGUUAGGAACACCAAGGACUGUGAAGAAAGCCGUCAAACAAUUCUAAAGAGAGCAUAAAGAUUCCCCAUAAGACCAAGGGAUGCACACUUUUUUCCCCUUCGUGUUGGAUCACAUAUUUACAUUUCGGGCUGGCAUGCCCAUAACUGUUAUUAUCAGCAGGCACAGUGGUUUAUUGCUAAAUAACCUCCAUGCUUGAAUAUGAAAGUGAAUUUCUUAUUUUUUCAUUGGGUACUUUUGCUAGAAAAACUACUCAGGUUAGGAAUACCAAGGAUUGUAAAAGGCACCAUCAAACAAUUCUAAAGUGAGCAUAAAGGUUCCCCAAAAGGCCACAGGAUGCAAUUCAUUUUUUUUUCCUUUCACUGUUUGUUCAAAUAUUUACUUUUCAGGUUGGCACGCAAGUUUAUUAUCAAUUUUAGGAUGAGUAAAGUUGUUUAAAACUUCAUUGUGUUACACCAAUUAUUAAAUCAUUUUAUUGUUCACAACUGACCAUAAAAUUCAAUGGGAUAGGUCGAGGAGAGCAGUUGCUACAUUGAUGACCAUGAGCUGAAUCAGAAGAAACUUAGUUCACACCAGCAGAGAUCUAUUUGUUUGUCUGAUCUUGUUCUCUUAAUUCACUAUGUCUUUCAAUCUGUUAGCUUUCGUUCAAUCACAAAGGAAGAACUAGUUCACAAGAUUAUUCUGAACAACUGUGAUAUUGAUGACAGCAGUAAGCUCAAAUGCUGUACUUUAUUUUCUUCCCCUUUUCCUAUUUCUAUGUAAAAGUUUCAAAAGCAUUCCUGUGUAUAUCUAGGUGAGGUCCUGAUGCAAAUAGAGCAACUGGAGAAACUGGUUCCAGACUGGUUUUAUAAGCAGCUUGCUCCUUGUGGAGACCAACUAUACAAGUUAGUAUUUCUUCCUUUUUUGCAGUCAUAUGUUGGCUAUAAGGGUGGUGCCAGUGGGCUCCCAUCAAGCUUGUCGUGUUGCUGUAAUCUUUAAUUGCAUCUAUGAGAUAAUAACUGGGAUGGGAAAGGGCUUGACCAGUGUGAAAAUUCUGCUGUUUACUUAGCUAUAUAUGUCGUAAACAUUCACAUCAGUAACUGUGCUGUUGUACAUUUAACCUUGAGAAAGGUGCCAUCCCCAAGACAGAUUGUAAGGUGCAAUACUACUAGAAUUUAAUCACUUCUGUUCUUAAAUCAGAGGAAUUGGUUUCUCUUAUCACAGUUCAGCAUGUCUUUAAAUUUUUACUAAAAUAAAAGAUGUUCUACGGUGGUAUAAAUCUCUACAUUUUCUGGUGAAUUUCAGUGUGAAAAAAGUGUCAGACUUGAACUCAGUUCGUGAAAGAGUUAACAUUGUAUGAUCCAAUUGAACUGAGGUGAGUAUUUUAGCUUGCUACAUGUUUCUCUGCUUGUUUGAUAUAGACGUGCAAUCCUAAUGUUAGUAGGAAACAUUCUAAGACACAGGAAAAUACUGAGAAUGGCGUUGCACAAAAUUGGUGUAAUGAUAUAUUAUAUUCAAUUUGUAGGGGCAUAUUUGCUUUAGAUUGGACUAUUUCAAAAUUAGAACAGCUUCUGAAAGUCGAAGAGUUGAAAUGGUGUUCCUGAUUUACGAGUAAUUUGGCAGUUUCCCCUUCAGAUUGUAGACGAUGCCUGCAAUGGACUCUACCUCUACUGGAUAGUUGGUGGAUGUUCAAGGUUUUUUACCUCUACUAGUAGGUUUAUAUGUAUUUUAUGCAUGUAUGUUAAAGGAGCAAAUGCGUAUAACAAUAUUGUGGGUGCAUAAUUUCUCUCCUUUUUCCUUUAAUCUUAUCAUAAUUCUACAUUAU
rnacentral:lncRNA from 1 species